rnacentral:lncRNA from 9 species
UCAGAUCCGUGAGAACAAGAACCAUGUCUACUUUGCUCAUCAUUAUAGACAGCAUGCAGCACGGUGCUUUAAACAUGGUGGAUCUUCAGUGACACCUGAUUGGAUGAAUGAAGGAGAACAAAGUUGAAAUGCCUAGAAUAUUCAUAGGAAGAAUUGAGUGCACCUGGAGACUAUUCAUGUGGAACAGGAAUAAAUGUCCUUUGAUUGAAAAGUCGAAAAUAUCCACGAAUUUUAAACGUAAGUAUAAUUAUGUAAAUAUAUAACAAUGUUGUUUCUUUAGUGGUUAUGAAAUACUGAACUUGGUCACUGAUUUGUUUAUUUGGUAUGUGUCCUUGCUUUUCAGGGAAUUUCUGUCCACUUUCAGAACCACCUUACAUUUCCUAUUCGAAGAACUAACAGAAGCAAAGCAGCUCAGCUAAGAGUGAAAUAAUUUCAGCGACUAUGAAAAUUUGCAGAAAAGUGUGGCCAACAGAAAGUGUUCAUUCUCUGUGUUUACAUUGGCACCGAUCUUAAAGGCAUGGCAUUAACUCAACAUAAAG